CUACGAUUGUCGUGACCUUUGCUUCCCAUGCUUUCGGCAAAGACCUGAGAAUUUUACUCACAAGUUCCGGAUUAGUGUAAGAUUUACCCAAACUCUUUAGACCAUUAAUUAUAUCGGUGAAGCGUGUAAACAUGCAUGUGAUGGUUUCAUUGGGUUCCAUCUUAAACAACUCAUAUUUGUUAACAAGAAUGUUCACUUUAGACUCUUUGACUUGAUUUGUACCCUCGUGGGUAACUUCAAGCCUAUCCCAUAUUUUCUUAGCGGAACUACAUGUGGAGACUCUAUUAAACUAUUUACAUCUAGAGCACAAAAUAAUGAGUUCAUGGCUCUAGAAUUGAGUUGAACCAUCCUAUUAUCAUUCUCAUCCCAAUCCUCCUCAGGUUUGGGAACUUGAAUGCCAUUCACCAUGUGUGAUGGUUCUUGUGGUCCCUUGACUAUAACCCUCCACAAGGCAUAGUCUUGUGCUUGAAUGAAGAUUCUCAUUCUAG
rnacentral:lncRNA from 1 species